GAUGGGAGGCCUGCUCCCAUAUCAUGAGACUUGACAUGCUUGAUGGGUCUCUAGAUUUUUAAAAUACAAUAAUUUUAUGAGGCAGCAGAGACUGGAAGGGUGAACAUUCAUCACACAGAAGAAAAAUGUUUGUGGACAAUGAGAGAAACCAUGCAGGGGAGGAUUUGUGUAGAAGAAAUAUACGUCAAUUUCAUGACUAGCUAUCUGAAGACGGAAUAAGAUGGGCAGAAAUGGGAGGCACCACGAUUGAAAUAAAAAUAUAAGUGAAAUGAAAAGGACUAUGAAAAACCACUGGAUUAAUCGGUGGAAAAUAGCAAUUACACUGUUUGCAUUUGGCUACAGAAUGAUCAGGCAUGAGUUCACUACAGCUUACUGGAAGAAGAGUAUAAGGAGAAGGCAGCAUUAUCAAAUAUUAUUGAAGUGAUAAGAAAACAUUCACAUUUAAUUUAAUGAAGAAUACCCUCCAGCAAGACACAGCUUUUGCCAAAGCAUCUCAGAAGACUUCCCCUUUUGCUGAAUCAAAUGCUACCUGAAAGACAGAGUGAUUCAGUCUGCGACAGCUGAUGAAACCAAGUCCACUUGGCUCCUGUCUAAUGCUUUUACAUGACGAAGGAAACGUUUAUUCUUCUCUAAUUUCCAGCUGAUCCCUACGAUGUACAAAGCCCUAUUCUUUGUUCCCCAGUACUACAAGGUAUAAUGAUACCCAAUCAUGCUCAGAAUAUUCACAGCCUUAAACCUCAUUUGGAUCCUCAGCACACAACUCUCCUUCUGUUGGUGCUAAGAUGAAGGUUGACUCUGGCCCACAACAUACCAUUAAUUGCUUCACUCCGUGCCAGCACCACUGCUGUGCGACUGCACUGGUCAAUCCAUAUUUCAGCAAAAGCAGGAUGUCACAAUAAAGAAAUUAUAUUUUUCUUCUUCCUGUAUCUCUCAUAAGAGUCAACAAAAUAUUUCUUGUUGAUUUUAGUGGAGCAUAUGUUUGACUGCUAUGUUAAAAUGUUAAAACCUUGUGCCACAGUGUAAAUAAAAUAUCUGAGGGCCUAACAAUAUAUUACACAUAAAACGUGAUUCUCUCCGCACAUCUAUGUUCAAGGAAGGCUGCUUCCUUGGUAAUGUUUAGAUGGAUAUGAAAGCAAUUAAACCUCUUUCUGCCUGCUUCUUCUUCCCUUUCUUUAGAAGCACUGCUUCAAGUUACUUUUCUCUCAAUAACACUGUGCUAGGAAGAGGUGUAGGAAAGCAGCUGGGAAGGUACUGCAAAGGAGAGAACUGACAGGGAAAGACUAAAGAACCGUAUAAUUCUGCUACUUCUCCAUUCAGAGAUGUUCUCUCUGUAAGUUAUUUUGCCUAAAGGAAAAAAGGUACCACAGCUGUUUAGUGACAUGUUUGCAUGUAACAUAAAAUCUGGCCCAAAAGCACUAUGGCAGUAGGCCCAAUUGAUACCAAGCCUGUACUCAAGACACAGCCAAACUGUCUAACACUGAGUUCCCACCAACAUCAGUGACUUCACACUUAAAACCUGUAAAGGCCUAAUCAAAACACUACGAGUCAAUCCUAGCCACACAAAAUAGUGGUGUAUACAGUUCUUUUGAAAAUGACCUUUGGAAUGCGCAAAGGUUUUAUGUACAACUACUGUCAGAUGUUACUUCAACAGAAGGGCUGUCCUUCCUUACUUUAUUUCUCAUUGACUAGUGGAGGCAUCAUAACAAAGCUGGUAUUAGCAUGUACAAAGUAGAAACAGUGAAAAAAAUGUGGUUUUGGAGAAUGUUAGGCAUAAGCUUACUUCCAGAUUGCCAAGAGAUACAGUACAGUAUGUUGACACUCAUGCCCAAGUAACUGAUGUACAAUUAGUUAUUGGCUUCUCCAGUUGUGCCCUUUGCACCAUUUCCUCCUUGAGUCGCGAGACAUCCCAGUUGAACAGCGAUGGCUUAGAACAUCAAGUCCCCCUCAUGUACAAUGCAGCCCCAC